CCUAAUGCUACAAAACAAACAACACAAACACAGUCAAGAAGAUGUAUUAUGUUUUCUUUCUUGACUGUGUUUGUGUUGUUUGUUUUGUAGCAUUAGGA
rnacentral:pre_miRNA from 1 species